rnacentral:rRNA from 1 species
UACGAAGGGUGCAAGCGUUACUCGGAAUUACUGGGCGUAAAGCGUGCGUAGGUGGUUUGUUAAGUCUGUUGUGAAAGCCCCGGGCUCAACCUGGGAAUGGCAAUGGAUACUGGCAAGCUAGAGUGCGGUAGAGGGUAGUGGAAUUCCCGGUGUAGCGGUGAAAUGCGUAGAGAUCGGGAGGAACACCAGUGGCGAAGGCGGUUACCUGGACAGUUACUGACGCUCAGGCACGAAAGCAUGGGGAGCAAAAGGG